rnacentral:tRNA from 1 species
UGGGGUGUAGUUUAGGGGUAGAGCACUUGCCUCGCAUGCACAGAGCCCUGAGUUCAAGCCCCAGCACCACAA